rnacentral:rRNA from 1 species
CGGACGGGUGAGUAAUACAUAGGAAUCUGCCCAGUAGCGGGGGACAACUCGGAGAAAUCCGAGCUAAUACCGCAUACGCCCUACGGGGGAAAGCAGGGGAUCUUCGGACCUUGCACUAUUGGAUGAGCCUAUGUCGGAUUAGCUUGUUGGUGGGGUAAAGGCCUACCAAGGCAACGAUCUGUAGCUGGUCUGAGAGGACGAUCAGCCACACUGGGACUGAGACACGGCCCAG